AUUCUGGCUCAGGAUGAACGCUGGCGGCGUGCUUAACACAUGCAAGUCGAACGGGAUCCAUCAAGCUUGCUUGGUGGUGAGAGUGGCGAACGGGUGAGUAAUGCGUGACCGACCUGCCCCAUACACCGGAAUAGCUCCUGGAAACGGGUGGUAAUGCCGGAUGCUCCGACUCCUCGCAUGGGGUGUCGGGAAAGAUUCUAUCGGUAUGGGAUGGGGUCGCGUCCUAUCAGGUAGUCGGCGGGGUAACGGCCCACCGAGCCUACGACGGGUAGCCGGCCUGAGAGGGCGACCGGCCACAUUGGGACUGAGAUACGGCCCAGACUCCUACGGGAGGCAGCAGUGGGGAAUAUUGCACAAUGGGCGCAAGCCUGAUGCAGCGACGCCGCGUGCGGGAUGACGGCCUUCGGGUUGUAAACCGCUUUUGAUCGGGAGCAAGCCUUCGGGUGAGUGUACCUUUCGAAUAAGCACCGGCUAACUACGUGCCAGCAGCCGCGGUAAUACGUAGGGUGCAAGCGUUAUCCGGAAUUAUUGGGCGUAAAGGGCUCGUAGGCGGUUCGUCGCGUCCGGUGUGAAAGUCCAUCGCUUAACGGUGGAUCUGCGCCGGGUACGGGCGGGCUGGAGUGCGGUAGGGGAGACUGGAAUUCCCGGUGUAACGGUGGAAUGUGUAGAUAUCGGGAAGAACACCAAUGGCGAAGGCAGGUCUCUGGGCCGUUACUGACGCUGAGGAGCGAAAGCGUGGGGAGCGAACAGGAUUAGAUACCCUGGUAGUCCACGCCGUAAACGAUGAGUGCUAGGUGUCGGGGAGGAAUCCUCGGUGCCGCAGCUAACGCAAUAAGCACUCCACCUGGGGAGUACGACCGCAAGGUUGAAACUCAAAGGAAUUGACGGGGGCCCGCACAAGCAGUGGAGUAUGUGGUUUAAUUCGAAGCAACGCGAAGAACCUUACCAGGUCUUGACAUCCCGAUGACCGGUUCAGAGAUGAGCCUUUUCUUCGGAACAUCGGAGACAGGUGGUGCAUGGUUGUCGUCAGCUCGUGUCGUGAGAUGUUGGGUUAAG
rnacentral:rRNA from 1 species